rnacentral:ncRNA from 2 species
UAGGUGUGUGUGGUGUCUCGUCUCGGCUAUGCUCGAUAUGCGAUCGAGCGAUGAGCAAUCCGGUGAGAUUCCGGAGCGGUCCCGCCACUGUGAGACACCCCCCAUGCGGUGCAGCCAGACACUUUGCCCGAUUCCUGCCGAACAG